GGUGAGGUCGCAUAGUCCGGUCUAGUGCGGAGGUCUUGAAAACCUCUGUAGUCAUUUUUGGCUACCGUGGGUUCGAAUCCCACCCUCACCG
rnacentral:tRNA from 1 species